UUGUAAGUAAUGAAGAGCGUACGGUGGAUGCCUUGGCACCAGGAGCCGAUGAAGGACGUAGGAGGCUGCGAUAAGCCUCGGGGAGCUGUCAACCGAGCUGAGAUCCGAGGAUUUCCGAAUGGGGAAACCCAGCACGAGUGAUGUCGUGUUACCCGCACCUGAAUAUAUAGGGUGUGUGGAGGGAACGUGGGGAAGUGAAACAUCUCAGUACCCACAGGAAGAGAAAACAACCGUGAUUCCGUGAGUAGUGGCGAGCGAAAGCGGAAGAGGCCAAACCAUGUACAUGUGAUACCCGGCAGGGGUUGUGUGCGUGGGGUUGUGGGGUCAUCUUUGUCAAUUCUGCCGGAUUGGCCGACAGUAAGAAAUCAUCGUGUUAGUCGAAGUGGUCUGGAACGGCCUGUCGUAGAGGGUGAGAGUCCCGUAGACGAAAACAUGGUGACUGUCGUAGGUGAUGCCCAAGUAGCAGCGGGCCCGUGAAAUCUGCUGUGAAUCUGUCGGGACCACCCGAUAAGCCUGAAUACUCCCUGGUGACCGAUAGCGGACUAGUACCGUGAGGGAAAGGUGAAAAGUACCCCGGGAGGGGAGUGAAAUAGUACCUGAAACCGUGCGCUUACAAUCCGUCAGAGCCUUCGAGCAGCUUGCUGCUGGGGGUGAUGGCGUGCCUUUUGAAGAAUGAGCCUGCGAGUUAGUGGCAUGUCGCGAGGUUAACCCGUGUGGGGUAGCCGUAGCGAAAGCGAGUCCGAAUAGGGCGUUUUAGUGGCAUGUUCUAGACCCGAAGCGGAGUGAUCUACCCAUGGCCAGGGUGAAGCGACGGUAAGACGUCGUGGAGGCC
rnacentral:ncRNA from 1 species